UUGGCUCCGGUUCACGACGGUGCCUGCGCGCGCGCAGGCCGGGUCGACCCGGCGGCC
rnacentral:ncRNA from 1 species